AACGCACCUUGCGCCCUUUGGUAUUCCGAAGGGCACACCUGUUUGAGUGUCGUGAAAUUCUCAACCCUCCUCACUUUUGUGGUGGCUGGGCUUGGACUUGGAGGCUUUGCCGGACCGUUCGUGUUCGGCUCCUCUCAAAUGCAUUAGUACGUCUUGUUGCGAUGUACCCUCGGUGUGAUAAUUAUCUACGCUGUGGUGUGCUUGCUUCUGGUGAGACGCGCUUCAAACCGUCCGAAAGGACAAUUCAUCGAAACUUGACCUCAAAUCAGGUGGGACUACCCGCUGAACUUAA
rnacentral:misc_RNA from 3 species